AUUGAACGCUGGCGGCAUGCUUUACACAUGCAAGUCGAACGGUAACAGGCCGCAAGGUGCUGACGAGUGGCGAACGGGUGAGUAAUGCAUCGGAACGUGCCCAGUCGUGGGGGAUAACGCAGCGAAAGCUGCGCUAAUACCGCAUACGAUCUAUGGAUGAAAGCGGGGGACCGUAAGGCCUCGCGCGAUUGGAGCGGCCGAUGUCAGAUUAGGUAGUUGGUGGGGUAAAGGCUCACCAAGCCAACGAUCUGUAGCUGGUCUGAGAGGCAGACCAGCCACACUGGGACGGAGACACGGCCCAGACUCCUACGGGAGGCAGCAGUGGGGAAUUUUGGACAAUGGGCGCAAGCCUGAUCCAGCAAUGCCGCGUGCAGGAAGAAGGCCUUCGGGUUGUAAACUGCUUUUGUACGGAACGAAACGGUCCUGGUUAAUACCUGGGGCUAAUGACGGUACCGUAAGAAUAAGCACCGGCUAACUACGUGCCAGCAGCCGCCGUAACAC
rnacentral:rRNA from 1 species